rnacentral:rRNA from 1 species
GACGAACGCUGGCGGCGUGCUUAACACAUGCAAGUCGAACGGUAAGGCCCUUCGGGGUACACGAGUGGCGAACGGGUGAGUAACACGUGGGUGAUCUGCCCUGCACUUCGGGAUAAGCCUGGGAAACUGGGUCUAAUACCGGAUAGGACCCUGGGAUGCAUGUCCUGGGGUGGAAAGCUUUUGCGGUGUGGGAUGGGCCCGCGGCCUAUCAGCCUGUUGGUGGGGUGAUGGCCUACCAAGGCGACGACGGGUAGCCGGCCUGAGAGUGUGACCGGCCACACUGGGACUGAGAUACGGCCCGGACUCCUACGGGGUGCAGCAGUGGGGAAUAUUGCACAAUGGGCGCAAGCCUGAUGCAGCGACGCCGCGUGAGGGAUGACGGCCUUCGGGUUGUAAACCUCUUUCAGCACCGACGAAGCGCAAGUGACGGUAGGUGCAGAAGAAGGACCGGCCAACUACGUGCCAGCCGCCGCAGUAA